rnacentral:rRNA from 1 species
GUGCCAGCAGCCGCGGUAAUACGGACCGUCCAAACGUUAUUCGGAAUCACUGGGCUUAAAGGGUGCGUAGGCGGUCCGGGAAGUUGGGUGUGAAAGCCCUCAGCUCAACUGAGGAAUAGCGCCCAAAACUGCCGGGCUGGAGGGAGACAUAGGUGAGCGGAACUUAGGGUGGAGCGGUGAAAUGCGUUGAGAUCCUAAGGAACACCAGUAGCGAAAGCGGCUCACUGGGUCUCUUCUGACGCUGAAGCACGAAAGCUAGGGGAGCGAAGAGGAUUAGAUACCCCUGUAGUCC